GUUUUUAAUUUUGCUGUUAGACCUUCAUUCUCAUCCAUUUUUUCUUAAAACACAUCCAAUCUCUUAAUUAAAGAAACAAAGCUAUUAACCCACUCUGUUAGGGCUUCAUUUAGCAUGUAGCCACCGGAUCACCAUUCUAUUUGGUGGCCGACGAUGCGCGAACAGUAGCCAGAUCUUGCCAACGGAGGCCACGACCAUGGAAAUCUGUACGGAGGCAACGUGGCGGAGGUAGCUGGCGUGUACGGAGACUGCUGGUGGUUGUACGGCGCUUAGAGGCUAAAGGCUGCUGUGGAGCUGUUGCAGCGCAAGAGGGUGACCUAGGGUUUCUGUGAUUGCCAAACUUUCAGGCCAUUUGGGCCUGCUUUGUUGUGUAAUAUUGGGCUAGGGUUAUUUUGGGCCAAUGAACUGUUAAUAUUUGUUGUAAAUGGGUUGUAAUAUUUGGACUGUUAUAAUAUUUUUAUUAUAAUUUA